rnacentral:rRNA from 1 species
UACAGAGGUCUCAAGCGUUGUUCGGAGUUACUGGGCGUAAAGCGUGCGUAGGCGGUGUCUUAAGUUUGUUGUGAAAUCUCCCGGCUUAACCGGGAGGGUGCGGCGAAUACUGAGAUGCUGGAGUGCCGGAGAGGUAAGCGGAAUACCUGGUGUAGCGGUGAAAUGCGCAGAUAUCAGGAGGAACACCGAUGGCGAAGGCAGGUCUCUGGGCCGAUACUGACGCUGAGGAGCGAAAGCGUGGGGAGCGAACAGG